UGUUGGUCACGUGAUCUGGGGGCGGGGCCGGAGCCGGGGCUCCGCUUCCUCCAGCGGCAAGGUUGAUGUAUCGCGCGCCGAGUCGGCGCUGAAAGCUGGACUGAGCGUCGCAGACUUUGAUGUGACUUUUGUCUCCUCCUCGCGCUGCGGCACGUCUUAGCGGGAGGCCCUCGCCUGUGCCCCUGAGCCCAGAGACGCAGGCGCCCAGCGGCUUUGCAAUGGGCUCCGCGCCCUCUGCGCGUCUCUUAUUCGAGGAAUGGGCCGUUAGUGUAGGGGGCGGCCGGCCCGCGGCGCCCUCUGGUGGCGGAGAGACGGAGCGCAAGCAGCAAAAGCCACCCAGGAAAUUCCAGGCUACUCUGAACCUGGCACCAACAAACGGUCUACCCUUUCCUUCAAAGCCAGAAGGCUCAGGGUGCCAAUGUGAUUGACCCAUCAAAACUCUGAACUCUGGUGCUCAGGCAAAUUUCUCUCAUUUUCUCAACACUCGUUGCUGAAGAAAUUAAGCAUGUGUGCCUCUACUGAGAGAAGACUCUUGGAAGCUUGUGCCCAUUUCCUCUGGACCUCACUCCAUGCACUCUUCCCUUUACUGACUUUGCUUCCUAGCCUUUCAUUGUAAUAAAUCAUUGCUGUGAAUAUAACUAUAUAUUGCAUCUUGUGAGACCUUCUAUCAAAUUACCAAACUUGGGUCUAGCCUCGGGGAAUCCCCAAACAAGCAUAUUAGAGAUACCUUGAGGACAAGAGCCAUACCCAAUACUAAAAUAUCAUCUACGCUGGAAAAGUUUAAGAAUCACUGCCUCCAAGUCUCUUCUAAUGCUAAGAUUCCAUACUGAUAUUCAAGACCAGAGCUGU